rnacentral:tRNA from 1 species
GAAACCUAUGUGAAUCCUCCAGGCCUGCUAAGCCCAGGAGGCCGUGGUUUAACUCCAUGGAGGUUUCG